UUACAUCCGCCGCACAUAAUAUUUCCUUCCCCUGUUUCCUUUUGUCUGCAACUCAAAAGAAGCACACACUCACAAAAGCUAUAGAUGAACACAACACUUAUAAACAUCAUCAUCUUCACACCCUCUCCCCUCUCCAAUUUCCGGUGCCGGCUGCGGCGGAGCCACAGCGGCGACAUGGCGACGGUUAUUGCUUCGGCUACACACUCAUCACGACCCUCACUUCAUGCCUUCCUCAUCCAAACACCCAUUUUCGUUGUUCACCAUCCACUCCGCUACCUCUGUUGAAUGAACGGCCGGCCACCACCAUUUCGGUGGUGGCGUAUGGCGGCGUCUGCACAAACGAGAGAGAGGGAGAGAGAGAGACGUAGAGCGUGAAAGAGAGAGAGAAAUCAGGAGGUGAAAAGAGGAAGCCGGCGACGACGCACGGCGGCGGCAGAGGGGAUGCUCGGUCCGACGACGUUCACGUCUCGGGUCAGGUUCUAUCGCGUUUCAGUCUCGGGUCAGGUUCUAUUGCGUUUCAGUUUCAGGUCUGAUCCAAAUCGCGAGUUCAGCUUUCUGUUCACUCGAGCCUCGGGUGAGCGACAUCGGUUCAGAUUCACAUUCGAAUUCGUUUCGGAUAAUCACUCUCGUGCGUUCGUUCAUUGGAUAAUCCAUCUUUACUCGUGCGUUAUUACAACAAAUCGCAACGCAAUCAAUGUUGUUAGACAAGACGAUGAAGAAAUCAAGUUAGGAUGGACUUAGAUACUCAUUCAAUAAUAAACAAUGUUGUUGCAAUUUGUCUUAUUUGAAACCAUGUUCAAAUUUUAGUCAUUUAUGAAUUGGAUUUAAAUUAUAUUGUCACA